CCUUUUUUCUAAUUUAGCUUAAUCUAAAGUAAUUUGAAGGAAUGCCUAACUGGCUCAAUUCAAAUCCAUAUUUCUGUUGAUUAAGCUCCAUAAUCAAAAGAAAUUAGACGCUGGAGUUGUUAAAGAUUUCAGGAGAAAAAUGUUUAAAGGUAAAGCUG